rnacentral:rRNA from 1 species
CGGCGACGCGAGCGGUCCGCCGCCCGCGACGUCGUGAGAAGUCCACUGAACCUUAUCAUUUAGAGGAAGGAGAAGUCGUAACAAGGUUUCCGUAGGUGAACCUGCGGAAGGAUCAUUG